UGGGGAAUUUUGCACAAUGGGGGAAACCCUGAUGCAGCGACGCCGCGUGAUUUAGAAGGCCUUCGGGUUGUAAAAAUCUUUUCUAUGGGAAGAAAAUGACAGUACCAUAGGAAGAAGGACCGGCUAACUACGUGCCAGCAGCCGGGGUCAUACGUAAGGUCCGAGCGUUGUCCGGAAUCAUUGGGCGUAAAGGGUACGUAGGCGGGUAAGCAAGUUAGAAGUGAAAUCCUGUAGCUCAACUACAGUAAGCUUUUAAAACUGCUAAUCUUGAGAUAUGGAAGGGAAAGUGGAAUUCCUAGUGUAGCGGUGAAAUGCGCAGAUAUUAGGAGGAAUACCGGUGGCGAAGGCGACUUUCUGGCCAUAAUCUGACGCUGAGGUACGAAAGCGUGGGUAGCAAACAGG
rnacentral:rRNA from 1 species